GAAAGGGGUGGGGGCCUGGGGCUUCAAGGGGUAAGGCAAUUCACAACAGAGCAAAUGUUGGUCAACGAAGGUUGCCCUGCUAUACGGACAAGUCUCAGAGCUUCUCCUGUGUUUGCAGUUUCUUAAAAACAAUCAGCUCAAAAUAAUCCUUACUCCAAAGAGGCAUACUUUAGGGUGGCACAUCCUGCUACUGUUUCAGCUUACUUCAGAAACUUCAGGAAAACUCAUUCAGAAAAAUAAACUCUUCAACCAAUCUCCUUCUCAACACAAUAGGUUGCUCGUCUGGGAGAGCAAUAUGGCUGUGAGUGUCAUGUCACCAUCAAACAACACUGGAGCCUAACCAUUCACCCUGAGCUAACGUCUGUGCCACUCCUUCUCCACUUUGCAUGUGGGACACUGCCACAGCAUGGCUGAUGAGCGGAGUUUGUCCACAGCCAGGAUCCAAACCCAAGAACCCUGGUCGCCGAAGCAGAGUGCAUGGAACUGUAACCAUUCAGCCACAGGCCUGGCCCCUGAUAUAAUCUUUUGACAAAGUCACACACAGCUAAAUAACACACUUGUCUCAGCCAUAAUCUCAGAGUUCCAGCAACCUCUUUGAAUUACCAAUUAUAUUCAUUAUGUGACAUGUAAUUUAAUAAAUAGAGACUCUCUCUUUAGUAUUCGUUAUCUUGUUCAUAGUGCUACUCUCUCAGAUUAUGCUUUUAUUUAAAUAAUACCAAUUAAACUUUUAAAAAUUCAGUACUGUGAUAAAUUUUAAACAAUCCAUAUAAUAAUACAAAUUAAUAAGCCAAUAUUAAAAUGUAUCCCCAUUGUUAUCUAAAUUGUUUCAAAUUUUUAUAAAUUCAGUAUCUCUAUUAUUGACUGAGUCAUGAAAUAAUUUAUUGAAAUAUUUAAUAAGCUUAAUUUUUUUGUUUUCUCCCACUUCAGUGAACAUAGUUUAGCAAAUUUAUUUGGACAAUUUUCAGGAUUCAAUAAAUUAUAAAGUUUUGUUCUUCAGUUAUCAAAACAACAAUUGCAUUUCAUAUAGUUAGUGGACACUCUGCUAAUGUCUAUUAAAAUGAUAUUUUAUUUUGCUUUAUUUUAAAUAAUAGGAUUUUUUUUACAUUACUAUGAUAUCACUUGCUUCACUUUCACAUUUUCCUUUACUUAAUUUUAUAUGUUCAGCCAUUUCUACAUUUGUUUAUUGCUGUCAGCUUUGGUAGCUGGGUAUAUUUUUGUUGUAAAGCUAAAGACUCUAUUGAAUCUCUAUUAGACUAUCAGUUACUGAAGCCAAGUCUCUAUAAAUAUUUCAUUUUACAAUUAUUUAAAUACCCCAUUUCACAAUUUUUAUUAAAUGCCUAGACAAGGUUUUUAUAGUGUUGGCAUCAAACACUGUCUGUUGAAGUCGAAAUAUUCUUCCAAUUUCCAUUAUUUUACUCUAAGAUCUUAGGAUACAUUUUGAUUUGACUUGAUAAGACACAAUUUGAUCCUCACUAAAAUUUGUUUGAUGUAUGGAAGUAAAUAAAAGUUUAUCAAGAAAAUAUUUAAAGUGAUGUCCAUCAUCUGGGGAUAAUUGAGUACAAGGACCGACACAGUGCUGAAUUAAAACAUCUGGACUUUUUUCUAGAGUUUUUCCUGGAACUCUCAACUUUCUCCCAGCAUUCCUCUAACAUCAUCUGUAUAAAAUUCAAAGAGAUUUUCAUCUAUCUCAUCAAAACUAUUUUUCAAGAAAUAAUAAAAUUAGAUGUUAUGUUAGCUGUUGUUCUUUCUAGCUCUGAGAUCAACAAAAGUACUAAACUAUAUGUUAAAUCAUAAACUUCAGAUUUUAAGUAAAUUUUUAAAACAUUUUUAUGUGAGACAGUUGAAGCUUCAUUAAUAAUUUAAAAUUUUGAAAUUCAAUUGCCUUGAUCUAUGUUUUCUGAAAAAUGUUACCUCAUUUCUGUUUUAUACCCGGAGGGACCAUAAAUCUAGACUGCGAUCUUAUACUCAUUUUGAUACUAUUUGUUUCUUGAAGGUCUAUUAAAUCAUUUAUGUCUGAAAAUGCUUGAUUGUUUCUAACUACGGUAUUAAAAAUUCUUACGACACUUUCC
ensembl:lncRNA